ACAUUACCUAAUUCUUUCACCUCAAAGUUCCACCUUAUUACAAAAAUGCCACUGCUUCGUUUACGCUGGGUCGCGUGUCCACAAGCUGAUACUCCUCUCCUCUUACCAAACUUCCGCGAGAAGCUUUGAUUUCAAAUAUCUAUUUUCAAUUUUUCAAAGCUACUUCCAGGGAGACGAUCAAUACAAUCCUGGUGUUUCUUCUCCUCUUUUUAGGCUUUAUUUCGUUGCUGGCAGAUAAAGUGCUCGAUGAUUUGUCUCAGAGAAAAAGUUUGAUAAUUUUAUCAUUCUGUAUGUAUCAUUUUAUGUUUGUUACUACAUGAUUUAGUUUAUCAUCCAUUUUGUUUGAUUCAUUGAUUGGCUAUCUUCAAUUGUUCCAUUUAUAUAAUAAUCGAUGUGAUGGACUUUUACUUUUAUGUUUGUUACUACAGGGUACUUUUGUUUCUGAUUACGUUGUCUCUUUUCGGAUUUCAGGUAAUGACGAUUCUUGGCUUCUAUGAUUCAGGUUGAAUUUUGUCCGGAAACUGUUUGAUGAGUUGUCCAAAAGAACAAGAUCGAUGAAUAUAUCACUAUUCAGACAAUAAGGUGCUUGGGAAACAUGGCAAACCGGCCAUUCUGGAGAACUGGACUAAUCCUGAACAAGUUUCUUAUAUGCCCUGUAAAAGUUUAUUCAUUUUGCAAGGUACAGUACUUCGUAUGAUUAUCAGUAGAAAUUUACAUGGUGGUAUGCACUACGUAGUUCAUUUUGUUUUCAUAACUUUUGAUUUGGUUGGUUUGUGUUUGCCUGAGAAAGAAACUAACUUUUAUUACUAAAAACUGAAACCUUGCUGUGUUGAAACCUCAACACCAAUACGAGAAACCAUAGAAUGAAGAUUUUCUGACCGGCAAUUAUAUCCCUCAUAUAUGUAUACUUGAGUAAAGAUCGCAUGGGAGUUUUUAGUUUAUUGCUGAAACAAUUUCUUUGCAAGAGUUGUAUAUCUGUGUUGAUAUUGAUUAAAUGUUUUGUAUAUCUGUGUUGAUCUUAGUAGGAUAUAGAGUGAUUAGAUAGUUUAUCGCGUUGGCUUGAUUAGGUGUAUUUCAGUUAGUUGGUAUUUAUAUUAUCAAUUUGGGAAGACAUGGGAGAAGCUUCAGAUGGCAGCCAGAGUCAUUGUUAUUGCUCGGUACACGGGUGUCAAUGCUAUUGCUGGACUUCACACUCCUGAUACUUUUACUAAUCAGUUGCAGACAUCGUUUAGUGAGCCCCGUCUCCUCAUUUUGACCGAUCCAAGAAUUGAUCACCACACAUUGGUAUCUGCAAAUAACAAAGGGAAACAAAACAUUGAUUGUCUCUUCUGGAUUUUAGCAAUAAUGGUCUUACAGAUGCGUGGUGUCAUCGGUUGUCUCUUCUGGAUUUUAGCAAGGAUGGUUUUAUCGAGAGCAUAGAUUGUUGAAUUUUUUUUUUCUACAGAAAACUUGAAGAGGCAAAUGAAGAAGAAGAGGAAGCGACAUUAGCUGAUUAUGCAGAAUACUCCAUUACUGCUCUAUUCAAGUGUGAGGCGUCACUCGGCGACAGCGAUCAGUCUUUGAUAAAAAAAUGAAUUUUACAUAUUCAAAGAUAUUAUGUGUUAGAUAUAAUUGAUGAUUACUAAUGUUCUUAAAGUUUGUUUUAGAACAGGAGUGAUCAGAGUUUAAGCUGGAAGCUGAUCAGAGUUUAAUAAAGUCUGACCAGAGUUUGAUAAAGUCUGAUCAGAGUUUACAUAGUCAAGACUCGUCAGAGUUUACACGUGGAAAGAGCUCAGAAGCGGAUAUACUUCAAGGAAGGAUAGAAGCAGAGGAGUGAUUUGCUGACUAUGGAAACUAAACAGAAAACAGUAGCAAUCUUUGAUUGAUAGAAUACAUAGCUGAUUUAUAGGAUAUCAAAUCAGAGAUUGAUUUUGUAACUGUGUCUAUAUAAACACAGAUUAGGGUUACUCUAUAUGAGUUGAGUUAUCGAGUAUAUUUUACAGAAC